rnacentral:rRNA from 1 species
UACGGAAGGUGCAAGCGUUAUCCGGAUUCACUGAGUUUAAAGAAAACGUAGGUAGGAUGGUAAGUCAGUGGUGAAAUCUCCAAACUUAACUCGGAAACUGCCGUUGAUACUAUCAUUCUUGAAUAUUGUAAAGGUAAGCGGAAUAUGUCAUAUAACGGUGAAAUGCUUAGAUAUGACAUAGAACACCGAUAGCGAAAACAGCUUGCUACACAAUUAUUGACACUGAAGCUCGAAAGCGUGGGGAUCAAAC